rnacentral:rRNA from 1 species
UGAGGAAUAUUGGGCAAUGCCCGCAAGGGUGACCCAGCAACGCCGCGUGGAGGAUGAAUGUCGUAAGAUUGUAAACUCCUGUUAGAGGGGAAGAAUAGUACCGGUUGGACCGGUAUAUGACUGUACCCUCAGAGAAAGCCCCGGCUAACUACGUGCAAGCAGCCGCGGUAAUACGUAGGGGGCAAGCGUUGUCCGGAUUUACUGGGUGUAAAGGGCGCGCAGGCGGGAUAAAAAGUCAGUGGUGAAAUCCUACAGCUUAACUGUAGAACUGCCUUUGAUACUUUUAUUCUUGAGUUCGGGAGAGAGAGACGGAAUUCCAGGUGUAGUGGUGAAAUACGUAGAUAUCUGGAAGAACACCAGUUGCGAAGGCGGUCUCUUGGUCCGACACUGACGCUGAGGCGCGAAAGCGUGGGGAGCAAACA